GAUGAAGAACGCAGCGAACCGCGAUAAGUAAUGUGAAUUGCAGAAUUCAGUGAAUCAUCGAGUCUUUGAACGCACAUUGCGCCCCCUGGCAUUCCGGGGGGCAUGCCUGUCCGAGCGUCAUUGCUGCCCUUCAAGCCCGGCUUGUGUGUUGGGUCGUCGUCCCCCCCGGGGGACGGGCCCGAAAGGCAGCGGCGGCACCGCGUCCGGUCCUCGAGCGUAUGGGGCUUUGUCACCCGCUCGAUUAGGGCCGGCCGGGCGCCAGCCGGCGUCUCCAACCUUCUAUUUUACCAGGUUGACCUCGGAUCAGGUAGGGAUACCCGCUGAACUUAAGCAUAUCAAUAAGCGGAGGA
rnacentral:misc_RNA from 1 species